UCUGAAGCCAGGAAGGUUGUACGCU
rnacentral:piRNA from 1 species